UACGGAGGGUGCAAGCAUUAAUCGGAUUUAUUGGGCGUAAAGGGCGCGUAGGCGGGAGAAUAAGUCAGAUGUGAAAUCCCGGGGCUCAACCUCGGAACAGCAUUUGAAACUAUUUUUCUUGAGGAUAGGCGGAGAAAACGGAAUUCCACAUGUAGCGGUGAAAUGCGUAGAUAUGUGGAAGAACAUCGGUGGCGAAGGCGGUUUUCUAGCUUAUUCCUGACGCUGAGGCGCGAAAGCAAGGGGAUCAAACAGG
rnacentral:rRNA from 1 species